UGCAGUCGAGCGGUACAGAUCUAGCUUGCUCUACGCUGACGAGCGGCGGACGGGUGAGUAAUGCAUAGGAAACUGCCCAAUAGUGGGGGAUAGCCCGGGGAAACCCGGAUUAAUACCGCGUACGCCCUUCGGGGGAAAGGAGGGGAUCUUCAGACCUUGCGCUAUUGGAUGUGCCUAUGUCAGAUUAUCUAGUUGGAGGGGUAAAGGCCUACCAAGGCGACUAUCCGUAUCUGGUCUGAGAGGAUGAUCACCCACAUCGAGACUGAGACACGGCCCGAACUCCUACGGGAGGCAGCAGUGGGGAAUAUUGGACAGUGGGGGCAACCCUGAUCCACCCAUGCCGCGUGUGUGAAGAAGGCUUUCGGGUUGUAAAGCACUUUCAGUGAGGAGGAAAACUCUGCGACUAAUACUCGUAGGGCUUGACGUUACUCACAGAAGAAGCACCGGCUAUCUCCGUGCCAGCAGCCGCGGUAAUACAGAGGGUGCAAGCGUUAAUCAGAAUUACUGGGCGUAAAGCGCGCGUAUGUGGUUUGAU
rnacentral:rRNA from 1 species